rnacentral:rRNA from 1 species
CGCCUGUUUAACAAAAACAUGUCUUUUUGAAAUAUAUUUAAAGUCUAACCUGCCCACUGAGUUUUAAAUGGCCGCAGUAUACUAACUGUGCAAAGGUAGCAUAGUCAUUAGUCUUUUAAUUGAAGGCUGGUAUGAAUGGUUGGACGAAAUAUUAGCUGUUUCAUUUGAAUUUAUAUUAGAAUUUUAUUUUUUAGUUAAAAAGCUAAGAUUUUUUUAAAAGACGAGAAGACCCUAUAAAUCUUUAUAUUUUAUUUAUUUUAUUUUUAAAGAUUGUUUUAAUUAUAAUAAAUUAAAAUAUUUUAUUGGGGUGAUAUUAAAAUUUAAGGAACUUUUAAUUAUUAAAAACAUUAAUUUAUGAAAAAUUGAUCCGUUAUUAACGAUUAUAAUAUUUAAGUCACUUUACGGAUAACAGCGUAAUUUUCUU